rnacentral:rRNA from 1 species
CCUACGGGAGGCAGCAGUGGGGAAUAUUGGACAAUGGGGGGAACCCUGAUCCAGCCAUGCCGCGUGUGUGAAGAAGGCCCUCGGGUUGUAAAGCACUUUCAGUGAGGAAGAACGCCUGGUGGUUAAUACCCAUCAGGAAAGACAUCACUCACAGAAGAAGCACCGGCUAACUCCGUGCCAGCAGCCGCGGUAAUACGGAGGGUGCGAGCGUUAAUCGGAAUUACUUGGCGUAAAGCGCGCGUAGGUGGCUUGAUAAGCCGGUUGUGAAAGCCCCGGGCUCAACCUGGGAACGGCAUCCGGAACUGUCAAGCUAGAGUGCAGGAGAGGAAGGUAGAAUUCCCGGUGUAGCGGUGAAAUGCGUAGAGAUCGGGAGGAAUACCAGUGGCGAAGGCGGCCUUCUGGACUGACACUGACACUGAGGUGCGAAAGCGUGGGUAGCAAACAGGAUUAGAUACCCUUGUAGUC